rnacentral:rRNA from 1 species
UACAGAGGGGGCAAGCGUUGUUCGGAAUUACUGGGCGUAAAGGGCGCGUAGGCGGCCUUCUAAGUCGAACGUGAAAUCCCCGGACUCAACCCGGGAACUGCGUCCGAUACUGGAAGGCUUGAAUCCGGGAGAGGGAUGCGGAAUUCCAGGUGUAGCGGUGAAAUGCGUAGAUAUCUGGAGGAGCACCGGUGGCGAAGGCGGCAUCCUGGACCGGCAUUGACGCUGAGGCGCGAAAGCCAGGGGAGCAAACGGG